AGAGUUUGAUCAUGGCUCAGAAUCAACGCUGGCGGCGUGCCUAACACAUGCAAGUCGAACGCGGUUACUUCUGCUUCGCAAGAAGCAGUUGUAACUGAGUGGCGAACGGGUGAGUAACACGUGGGUGACCUGCCUUCGAGUGGGGGAUAACAUCCCGAAAGGGGUGCUAAUACCGCAUGAGAUCCUGCCUUUGAAGAGGUGGAGAUUAAAGCUGGGGAUCGUAAGACCUGGCGCUUGAAGAGGGGCCCGCGUCCGAUUAGCUAGUUGGUGGGGUAACGGCCUACCAAGGCUUCGAUCGGUAGCCGGCCUGAGAGGGCGGACGGCCACACUGGGACUGAGACACGGCCCAGACUCCUACGGGAGGCAGCAGUGGGGAAUUGUUCGCAAUGGGCGAAAGCCUGACGACGCAACGCCGCGUGGAGGAUGAAGAUUUUCGGAUCGUAAACUCCUUUCGAUCGGGACGAACGACUGGUGACCUAACACGUCAUCAGAGUGACGGUACCGAGAGAAGAAGCCCCGGCUAACUCCGUGCCAGCAGCCGCGGUAAUACGGGGGGGGCAAGCGUUGUUCGGAAUUACUGGGCGUAAAGGGCGCGUAGGCGGCCUGCUAAGUCACACGUGAAAUCCCUCGGCUCAACCGGGGAACUGCGUGUGAUACUGGCGGGCUUGAAUUCGGGAGAGGGAUGUGGAAUUCCAGGUGUAGCGGUGAAAUGCGUAGAUAUCUGGAGGAACACCGGUGGCGAAGGCGGCAUCCUGGACCGAGAUUGACGCUGAGGCGCGAAAGCUAGGGUAGCAAACGGGAUUAGAUACCCUGGUAGU
rnacentral:rRNA from 1 species